rnacentral:rRNA from 1 species
CCUACGGGAGGCUGCAGUGGGGAAUAUUGGACAAUGGGCGAAAGCCUGAUGCAGCGACGCCGCGUGAAUGAAGAAGGAUUUCGGUAUGUAAAGCUCUAUCAGCAGGGAAGAAAGAAAUGACGGUACCUGACUAAGAAGCCCCGGCUAACUACGUGCCAGCAGCCGCGGUAAUACGUAGGGGGCAAGCGUUAUCCGGAAUUACUGGGUGUAAAGGGAGCGUAGGCGGCGAUGCAAGUCAGAAGUGAAAGGCGUGGGCAUAACCCCCGGAUUGCAUUGGGAACUGUCAGGCUGGAGUACAGGAGAGGAAAGUGGAAUUCCUAGUGUAGCGGUGAAAUGCGUAGAUAUUAGGAAGAACACCAGUGGCGAAGGCGGCUUACUGGACUGUAACUGACGUUGAGGCUCGAAAGCGUGGGGAGCGAACAGGAUUAGAUACCCUAGUAGUC